rnacentral:sRNA from 1 species
UGACCAUGGUAAUGACGCUAGCAGAGUCUU